GCUUGUCUCAAAGAUUAAGCCAUGCAUGUGUAAGUAUAAAUAACUCUAUACUAUGAAACUGCGAAUGGCUCAUUAUAUCAGUUAUAGUCUACUCGAUAGUACCUUACUACUUGGAUAACCGUAGUAAUUCUAGAGCUAAUACAUGCGUAAAUACCCAACUGCUUGUCGGACGGGUAGCAUUUAUUAGAUUGAAACCAAUGCAGCUUCGGCUGGUAUUGUGUUGAGUCAUAAUAACUGUGCGGAUCGCUUUUUAAGCGAUAAAUCGAUUGAGUUUCUGCCCUAUCAGCUUUGGAUGGUAGGAUAUGGGCCUACCAUGGCGUUAACGGGUAACGGGGAAUUAGGGUUUGAUUCCGGAGAGGGAGCCUUAGAAACGGCUACCACAUCCAAGGAAGGCAGCAG
rnacentral:rRNA from 1 species